rnacentral:rRNA from 1 species
GGGCCCGCACAAGCGGUGGAGUAUGUGGUUUAAUUCGAUGCAACGCGAAGAACCUUACCAGGGCUUGACAUCCUGCGAACCUCUGGGAAACCGGAGGGUGCCUUCGGGAACGCAGUGACAGGUGGUGCAUGGCUGUCGUCAGCUCGUGUCGUGAGAUGUUGGGUUAAGUCCCGCAACGAGCGCAACCCACGUCUUUAGUUGCCAGCAUUUAGUUGGGCACUCUAGAGAGACCGCCGGUGACAAACCGGAGGAAGGUGUGGAUGACGUCAAGUCAUCAUGCCCCUUACGUCCUGGGCUACACACGUACUACAAUGCUACGGACAAAGGGCAGCAAGUUCGCGAGGACAAG